CGGAUGUUGUGCGCAGAUAAUUUUGUGGGAAGUCUUACCGUCCCUAUUUCAUAGAAAAAAAAUCCAGGUAUGUUAUUUUCUGUAUUUUCAAAAAAAUGAUAAUGAUAUGAAGCUUAGAAGUCGUGUGUCAUGCUUUGGAAAUAAAACUUACAACCCCCAUAGUUCAGGACCUUACUGAACUUUGCGUGUCAUGUAUUUAUAACCGCAUUUGUUUCUCAAGCUUUAGUUAUUAAACUUUUCUCUAAAACUGCAGAGUAACCGUUCUGAAUAAUGAACUUUGCAUUGCAUGUGUUAAUCUUAAAAAACACAAAUUUGAGAAAUAUCAAAUGGAAGUUCACAACUAAUAGAAAAGUUUAGCUCUUACAAGAUGGUAGGGAUUUCAAAAGUUUUAGCUUCAUCUUUUGUUAUUACACCAUAUGUUAUGUCAGUAAAUUGAGUUAUAUGAUGAGCAUGGUCUUAUCUGUUCAGGUUGCUGAGUUUUGGCCUUAAGGUGCAGCAUUGAUAAGGAAAUUAUGCAUCUGUUGAGGUUACUGAUAUUUAACCAUCUCAUGUCUAUCAAUAGUGCAUACAUUAUGGUUGAUAAAAAUAUCUUGCCAUGUCAAAUGCAUAAUGUUGUAAUUCCUUCAUUCCAUAAUGUAGUGCACCCGCGCUUUUUUAGAUAAAGUUUGACCAUAAAUUUAACUAACGUGGUUAAAUUUAUGGUCAAACCUAAAUCUCGAAAAGCGCUGGCGCACUACGUUACGGAAUGGAGGGAGUAUAUGAUAAGUUUGGGUGUAGCUCUGUGUUAGUGCCAGUUGCUUAUUAUGCGCUUGACCUAUUGUAUCUUUUUACCAUGCAGAUUAAUUAAUUCAACCUGAGGAUAGACAUCCUCACUUCAGUUCAAAAUUAUCCAGAAGAAGUGUGAUUUCUAUUCCAUAUUCAUUGACUUUUCUAAGACCUAUUAGUAAAUUCAUUAGCUUCUUUAAUCCAGUGAUUCUGGGUAAACCGACGAAGAAUAUGAAUAUUACGUAUGUAUAUUACCCCUUCUUCUGUCAUUUU
rnacentral:lncRNA from 1 species